UGGGGAAUUUUGGACAAUGGGCGAAAGCCUGAUCCAGCCAUGCCGCGUGCAGGAUGAAGGCCUUCGGGUUGUAAACUGCUUUUGUACGGAACGAAAAGCCUCUUUCUAAUAAAGAGGGGUCAUGACGGUACCGUAAGAAUAAGCACCGGCUAACUACGUGCCAGCAGCCGCGGUAAUACGUAGGGUGCAAGCGUUAAUCGGAAUUACUGGGCGUAAAGCGUGCGCAGGCGGUUUUGUAAGACAGAGGUGAAAUCCCCGGGCUCAACCUGGGAACUGCCUUUGUGACUGCAAGGCUGGAGUGCGGCAGAGGGGGAUGGAAUUCCGCGUGUAGCAGUGAAAUGCGUAGAUAUGCGGAGGAACACCGAUGGCGAAGGCAAUCCCCUGGGCCUGCACUGACGCUCAUGCACGAAAGCGUGGGGAGCAAACAGGAUUAGAUACCCUGGUAGUCCACGCCCUAAACGAUGUCAACUGGUUGUUGGGUCUUCACUGACUCAGUAACGAAGCUAACGCGUGAAGUUGACCGCCUGGGGAGUACGGCCGCAAGGUUG
rnacentral:rRNA from 2 species